GAUAUUCUUUGAAAUGAGCUUUAUAGACCUAUCUUUUAAUAUGUUCGUUUGCUGUCCUUGACACAGGCUGGACAUCCUUGGAUCUUGAAAUAAUCAAGAUUCAGUUCUCACCAUGUCAUAUCUCAUACGGUGUGGUAGAAAAGAUUUAAAGAGAAUCUAAUUCCAUAGAAAUAAAGCAUAUUCCUAAAGAAACAAAAUAAAUUAGUGAAGUCCAUCAU
rnacentral:lncRNA from 1 species